UUUGCUGGCGACCGGCGCACGGGUGAGUAACACGUAUCCAACCUGCCCUUUACUCGGGGAUAGCCUUUCGAAAGAAAGAUUAAUACCCGAUGGCAUAAUGAUUCCGCAUGGUUUCAUUAUUAAAGGAUUCCGGUAAAGGAUGGGGGAUGCGUUCCAUUAGGUUGUUGGUGAGGUAACGGCUCACCAAGCCUUCGAUGGAUAGGGGGUUCUGAGAGGAAGGUCCCCCACAUUGGAACUGAGACACGGUCCAAACUCCUACGGGAGGCAGCAUG
rnacentral:rRNA from 1 species